rnacentral:rRNA from 1 species
UGCCAGCAGCCGCGGUAAUACGAAGGGGGCUAGCGUUGUUCGGAAUCACCGGGCGUAAAGCGUAUGUAGGCGGAUCAAAAAGUUAGGUGUGAAAUCCCUGGGCUCAACCCAGGAACUGCAUUUAAAACUAGUGAUCUAGAAAUUGGUAAGGGUUAGUAGAAUUUCCAGUGUAGAGGUGAAAUUCGUAGAUAUUGGAAAGAAUACCAGAAGCGAAGGCGACUAACUAGGCCAUUUUUGACGCUGAGAUACGAAAGCGUGGGUAGCAAACAGGAUUAGAUA